rnacentral:rRNA from 1 species
CCUACGGGAGGCAGCAGUGAGGAAUAUUGGUCAAUGGGCGGGAGCCUGAACCAGCCAAGCCGCGUGAGGGAAGAAGGUACAGCGUAUCGUAAACCUCUUUUGUCAGGGAACAAAGGCGGGGACUAGUCCCCGGAUGAGGGUACCUGAAGAAAAAGCAUCGGCUAACUCCGUGCCAGCAGCCGCGGUAAUACGGAGGAUGCGAGCGUUAUCCGGAUUUAUUGGGUUUAAAGGGUGCGCAGGCGGCCUGUUAAGUCAGCGGUAAAAGCCCGGGGCUCAACCUCUUCGAGCCGUUGAAACUGGUUUUCUUGAGUGAGUGAGAAGUAUGCGGAAUGCGUGGUGUAGCGGUGAAAUGCAUAGAUAUCACGCAGAACUCCGAUUGCGAAGGCAGCAUACCGGCGCUCAACUGACGCUCAUGCACGAAAGUGUGGGUAUCGAACAGGAUUAGAUACCCUUGUAGUC